rnacentral:rRNA from 1 species
GACGAACGCUGGCGGCGUGCCUAAUACAUGCAAGUAGAACGCUGAAGGAGGAGCUUGCUCUUCUGGAUGAGUUGCGAACGGGUGAGUAACGCGUAGGUAACCUGCCUGGUAGCGGGGGAUAACUAUUGGAAACGAUAGCUAAUACCGCAUAAGAGUAGAUGUUGCAUGACAGCUGUUUAAAAGGUGCAAUUGCAUCACUACCAGAUGGACCUGCGUUGUAUUAGCUAGUUGGUGAGGUAACGGCUCACCAAGGCGACGAUACAUAGCCGACCUGGGAGGGUGAUCGGCCACACUGGGACUGGGACACGGCCCAGACUCCUACGGGAGGCAGCAGUAGGGAAUCUUCGGCAAUGGACGGAAGUCUGUCCGAGCAACGCCGCGUGAGUGAAGAAGGUUUUCGGAUCGUAAAGCUCUGUUGUAAGAGAAGAACGAGUGUGAGAGUGGAAAGUCACACUGG